AAGCAACGCGAAGAACCUUACCACGGCUUGACAUGCAGAGAACUUCCAGAGAUGGAUUGGUGCCUUCGGGAACUCUGACACAGGUGCUGCAUGGCUGUCGUCAGCUCGUGUCGUGAGAUGUUGGGUUAAGUCCCGUAACGAGCGCAACCCUUGUCCUUAGUUACCAGCACGUUAUGGUGGGCACUCUAAGGAGACUGCCGGUGACAAACCGGAGGAAGGUGGGGUUGACGUCAAGUCAUCAUGGCCCUUACGGCCUGGGCUACACACGUGCUACAAUGGUCGGUACAAAGGGUUGCCAAGCCGCGAGGUGGAGCUAAUCCCAUAAAACCGAUCGUAGUCCGGAUCGCAGUCUGCAACUCGACUGCGUGAAGUCGGAAUCGCUAGUAAUCGUGAAUCAGAAUGUCACGGUGAAUACGUUCCCGGGCCUU
rnacentral:rRNA from 1 species